GCCUUGAUGAGCUUCAGUAGUCUGUGGUGUAGGCUUCAAACCUAUAGCCUUCUAGCAAGAGAGUCUUUCAAUUCCUCCUUUCAGGUG